rnacentral:rRNA from 1 species
UACGGAGGGGGCUAGCGUUGUUCGGAAUUACUGGGCGUAAAGCGUACGUAGGCGGCUUUGUAAGUUAGAGGUGAAAGCCCGGGGCUCAACUCCGGAAUUGCCUUUAAGACUGCAUCGCUUGAAUCAUGGAGAGGUGAGUGGAAUUCCGGGUGUAGCGGUGGAAUGCGUAGAGAUCCGGAAGAACACCGGUGGCGAAGGCGGUGAGCUGGGCAGUAGCUGACACUGAGGCGCGACAGCGUGGGGAGCAAACAGG